rnacentral:rRNA from 1 species
AUUGAACGCUGGCGGCAUGCCUUACACAUGCAAGUCGAACGGCAGCGGGGGAGAAGCUUGCUUUUCCUGCCGGCGAGUGGCGAACGGGUGAGUAAUACAUCGGAACGUGCCCUGUAGUGGGGGAUAACUAGUCGAAAGAUUAGCUAAUACCGCAUACGACCUGAGGGUGAAAGCGGGGGACCGCAAGGCCUCAUGCUAUAGGAGCGGCCGUUGUCUGAUUAGCUAGUUGGUGGGGUAAAGGCCUACCAAGGCGACGAUCAGUAGCUGGUCUGAGAGGACGAUCAGCCACACUGGGACUGAGACACGGCCCAGACUCCUACGGGAGGCAGCAGUGGGGAAUUUUGGACAAUGGGCGAAAGCCUGAUCCAGCAAUGCCGCGUGUGUGAAGAAGGCCUUCGGGUUGUAAAGCACUUUUGUCCGGAAAGAAAUGGCUCUGGUUAAUACCUGGGGUCGAUGACGGUACCGGAAGAAUAAGGACCGGCUAACUACGUGCCAGCCGCCGCAGUAA